rnacentral:lncRNA from 1 species
UUCCGAAACCUAACUGAACACUUGCAUUUUCUUGUUUUAGAAAGUCUGUGGGGUUUUUUUUUCUUUCUUUCUUAUCUUUCACUAUAACCAUGAGACUUUUUUUUUCUAUCAAUAGGUACAAUUUUUUUGUUUGUUUUUGGUUUGUUUUUGUUUUUUUUUUCGAGUCAGGGUUUCUCUGUAUAGCCCUGGCUGUCCUGGAGCUCACUCUGUAGACCAGGCUGGCCUCAAACUCAGAAAUUCACCAGCCUCUGCUUCCCGAGUGCUGGGAUUAAAGACGUGAGUCACCACGCCCGGCUAAUAGGUACAAUUUUUACAUUGAGUUAGGUUCUAUUUUUUUGAGGAAACCCUGACAGGACCUUGGCUGCAGACAUGGCGGUCCCUGAACAAGUCAGAGGGAGCACACCAGUGAGCAGCGUCCUCUAUAGUCUCGGCUUCACUUCAUGUCUUCAAGCUCCUGCCCUAGGUUCCCUCUGUGAUGGAGUGAAAACUAAAACAUGAAAUACGUCCUUUCCCCAGGUUGCUUUGUCAUCAUGGAAACAUGGCAAUAGAAAGCGACUGAAAGGAGUGUAACUCUUAUGUUUCCACUCGAGUUCACACUGCGCAAAUAUCUUCCUUCACACACAUCUCUCGACAUUGGCUCCAGAGAAAGCUUGCAGCAUUGUUGAGCUCAUUUUCAAAGGUCAAGCUCAGGAGGGUCACUAGCUGUUCAAGAUCCUGGGGCACCUUCACCCUCUGUUGUGAGCCCAGAGGUAGCUGGUCUGAAUGGAGCUGGCGGAGCUGCUCGCCCAGGCUGUCUGAGGUUGAGCUGCCGCUGACAUAUCCUCACACCGUUGCUGCUGUGGGCAUAUGUAGAAAUGUCACUCCCAAAUAACUGGCUCAGUCUUAUCCUGACACAGUUCACAAACAGUUCAUGGUGGCCCAUCAUUGUCAGCACUAGAAGUAUCAUUUUCUGGUGUCCAGUAGGGGGCGCAACACAGUAGAAUUUCACUUCACGUUAAGUGAAGCCGAGAAAGCUACUACUGAUCUUGAGAAUUUUAACAAAAGCCAGGUCUGAAGAACAAUAAGAAGACAAGAAGGGACCCUGGUGUCUAUACCGUGCUUAAAAGUCUCUACUUUUAACCUAUCAACAAAUAAUUUCCAAGAGCAACCAUCUUAUAGGUAAAACACAAGAAAAUGUUCCAAAUUAACCAGCAACCCCCAAGUACGAUUCUAGUUUCACAGUAAUUGAAAAUAAUCAACCGAGUCAUUAUUCGACUCUAAGGAUUCUUCCAUCCUCACUCUGUGUCACCUCUGUCCCCUGUAUUGACAGGAUUCCCAGGCAUCGAUGCUCAGGGCAUUACAGCUGCAUCCUUCCCUCUGUGGGGGUGGAGGGAGGGGGAGAGGUGUCCGGGCAGAACACUCGCUGAGGACCUGCAAGUUCCUCGUUUGGAGGGAAAGGUCACUUCUUUACACUCAUGCCCUGGAAUUAUUUAGUGUACUCUCUCCGCAUGGUUGCACAAAUUAUGAAUUUAUGUAAAUGUCUUGCUUAUGUGAUUGCUUAAGAUGAACGCUCAAAUACAUGUUGGGUCACCACUGCCCAUGUUCCUUCUUUAACAAUCUUAGUUUGAUGUUGCUUGAAAACAGAAGAGUAAGAGAGACAAACUGACCAAUGGUUUGAGCAGAGCUAGUUUAAGACACGGUGUAAUUACGGAAUCAAGAAAUCAUCAUCUGUGUUCAUCGCUGCAGACAAAAGAUG